AACGAACGCUGGCGGCAGGCCUAACACAUGCAAGUCGAGCGCCCAGCAAUGGGAGCGGCGGACGGGUGAGUAACGCGUGGGAAUUUUUCCUGGAGUACGGAACAACCGAGGGAAACUUCGGCUAAUACCGUAUGAUGUCUAGCGACCAAAGAUUUAUCGCUCUGGGGUAAGCCCGCGUCAGAUUAGGUAGUUGGUGGGGUAACGGCCUACCAAGCCUGCGAUCUGUAGCUGGUCUGAGAGGACGAUCAGCCACACUGGGACUGAGACACGGCCCAGACUCCUACGGGAGGCAGCAGUGGGGAAUCUUGCGCAAUGGGCGAAAGCCUGACGCAGCCAUGCCGCGUGAGUGAAGAAGGUCUUAGGAUUGUAAAGCUCUUUCGCUCGUGACGAUGAUGACGGUAACGAGAGAAGAAGCCCCGGCUAACUUCGUGCCAGCAGCC
rnacentral:rRNA from 1 species